rnacentral:rRNA from 1 species
CAAUAGCGUAUAUUAAAGUUGUUGCAGUUAAAAAGCUCGUAGUUGGAUUUCUGGUGGGAGCACGGGUCGGCCCUCACGGGUUGUACUGUUGUUGCGUCCCGCCGUUUCGGAGGGAAUGGUCUCGCUAUUAAGUUAGCGUGAUCGGGAACUCUGUCGUUUACUGUGAAAAAUUAGAGUGUUUAAAGCAAGCUUGCGCGAUGAAUACAUUAGCAUGGAAUAAUAAUAUAGGACUACGGGUUCUAUUUUGUUGGUUUCUAGACCUGAAGUAAUGAUUGAUAGGGAUAGUUGGGGGUGCUAGUAUUGAGAGGCCAGAGGUGAAAUUCUUUGAUUCUCUCAAGACUAACUUAUGCGAAAGCAUUCACCAAGGAUGUCUUCUUUAAAUCAAGAACGAAAGUUGGGGGAUCGAAGACGAUUAGAUACCAU